CGAAUUCGCCCUUUGCCAGCAGCCGCGGUAAGACGAACCGUGCAAACGUUGUUCGGAAUCACUGGGCUUAAAGGGCGCGUAGGCGGGUUUUCAAGUCUGUGGUGAAAUCCUCCAGCUCAACUGGGGAACUGCCAUGGAUACUGAGGAUCUCGAGGGAGGUAGGGGCGUACGGAACUGGUGGUGGAGCGGUGAAAUGCGUUGAUAUCACCAGGAACUCCGGUGGCGAAGGCGGUACGCUGGACCUCUUCUGACGCUGAGGCGCGAAAGCCAGGGGAGCAAACGGGAUUAGAUACCCUGGUAGUCC
rnacentral:rRNA from 1 species